rnacentral:rRNA from 1 species
UACUUAGUGGCAGACGGGUGAGUAACAUGUGGGUAUCUACCCUUUGGCCUGGAAUAACACGAGGAAACUUGUGCUAAUACCGGAUAAGUCUUUACGGAGAAAGCUUUAUGCACCAUUGGAUGAGCCCGCACUUGAUUAGUUUGUUGGUAGGGUAAUGGCCUACCAAGACUAUGAUCAAUAGCUGAUUUGAGAGGAUGAUCAGCCACAUUGGGACUGAGACACGGCCCAAACUCCUACGGGAGGCAGCAGUGGGGAAUCUUGCACAAUGGAGGAAACUCUGAUGCAGCGAUGCCGCGUGAGUGAAGAAGGCCUUUGGGUUGUAAAGCUCUUUCGUCGGGGAAGAAAAUGACUGUACCCGAAUAAGAAGGUCCGGCUAACUUCGUGCCAGCAGCCGCGGUAAUACGAAGGGACCUAGCGUAGUUCGGAAUUACUGGGCUUAAAGAGUUCGUAGGUGGUUGAAAAAGUUGGUGGUGAAAUCCCAGAGCUUAACUCUGGAACUGCCAUCA